rnacentral:rRNA from 1 species
GCCAGCUAGCCAUAUCACUCUGCAACUUACAACUGGCAACCCACUGAAGCUAAGCAGGUGUGAGCCUGGUCAGUACCUGGAUAGGAGACCUCCUGGGAAAAACUAAGGUUGCUGCUGUCA